ACGUCAAGUCCUCAUGGCCCUUAUGGGCUGGGCUACACACGUGCUACAAUGGCGAUUACAAUGGGCAGCGAAGGGGCGACCUGGAGCGAAUCCCCAAAAAUCGUCUCAGUUCAGAUUGCACUCUGCAACUCGGGUGCAUGAAGGCGGAAUCGCUAGUAAUCGUGGAUCAGCAUGCCACGGUGAAUACGUUCCCGGGCCUU
rnacentral:rRNA from 1 species